rnacentral:rRNA from 1 species
AUUGAACGCUGGCGGCAGGCCUAACACAUGCAAGUCGAGCGGUAGCACAGAGAGCUUGCUCUCGGGUGACGAGCGGCGGACGGGUGAGUAAUGUCUGGGAAACUGCCUGAUGGAGGGGGAUAACUACUGGAAACGGUAGCUAAUACCGCAUAACGUCGCAAGACCAAAGUGGGGGACCUUCGGGCCUCAUGCCAUCAGAUGUGCCCAGAUGGGAUUAGCUAGUAGGUGGGGUAAUGGCUCACCUAGGCGACGAUCCCUAGCUGGUCUGAGAGGAUGACCAGCCACACUGGAACUGAGACACGGUCCAGACUCCUACGGGAGGCAGCAGUGGGGAAUAUUGCACAAUGGGCGCAAGCCUGAUGCAGCCAUGCCGCGUGUGUGAAGAAGGCCUUCGGGUUGUAAAGCACUUUCAGCGGGGAGGAAGGCGGUGAGGUUAAUAACCUCAUCGAUUGACGUUACCCGCAGAAGAAGCACCGGCUAACUCCGUGCCAGCAGCCGCGGUAAUACGGAGGGUGCAAGCGUUAACCGGAAUUACUGGGCGUAAAGCGCACGCAGGCGGUCUGUCAAGUCGGAUGUGAAAUCCCCGGGCUCAACCUGGGAACUGCAUUCGAAACUGGCAGGCUAGAGUCUUGUAGAGGGGGGUAGAAUUCCAGGUGUAGCGGUGAAAUGCGUAGAGAUCUGGAGGAAUACCGGUGGCGAAGGCGGCCCCCUGGACAAAGACUGACGCUCAGGUGCGAAAGCGUGGGGAGCAAACAGGAUUAGAUACCCUGGUAGUCCACGCCGUAAACGAUGUCGAUUUGGAGGUUGUGCCCUUGAGGCGUGGCUUCCGGAGCUAACGCGUUAAAUCGACCGCCUGGGGAGUACGGCCGCAAGGUUAAAACUCAAAUGAAUUGACGGGGGCCCGCACAAGCGGUGGAGCAUGUGGUUUAAUUCGAUGCAACGCGAAGAACCUUACCUGGUCUUGACAUCCACAGAACUUUCCAGAGAUGGAUUGGUGCCUUCGGGAACUGUGAGACAGGUGCUGCAUGGCUGUCGUCAGCUCGUGUUGUGAAAUGUUGGGUUAAGUCCCGCAACGAGCGCAACCCUUAUCCUUUGUUGCCAGCGGUCCGGCCGGGAACUCAAAGGAGACUGCCAGUGAUAAACUGGAGGAAGGUGGGGAUGACGUCAAGUCAUCAUGGCCCUUACGACCAGGGCUACACACGUGCUACAAUGGCAUAUACAAAGAGAAGCGACCUCGCGAGAGCAAGCGGACCUCAUAAAGUAUGUCGUAGUCCGGAUUGGAGUCUGCAACUCGACUCCAUGAAGUCGGAAUCGCUAGUAAUCGUAGAUCAGAAUGCUACGGUGAAUACGUUCCCGGGCCU